rnacentral:rRNA from 1 species
CCUAGGGGGCUGCAGUGGGGAAUAUUGGACAAUGGGCGAAAGCCUGAUCCAGCCAUGCCGCGUGUGUGAAGAAGGCCUUCGGGUUGUAAAGCACUUUCAGUGGGGAAGAAAGCCUUGGGGCUAAUACCCUCGAGGAAGGACAUCACCCACAGAAGAAGCACCGGCUAACUCCGUGCCAGCAGCCGCGGUAAUACGGAGGGUGCGAGCGUUAAUCGGAAUUACUGGGCGUAAAGCGCGCGUAGGCGGUCUGAUAAGCCGGUUGUGAAAGCCCCGGGCUCAACCUGGGAACGGCAUCCGGAACUGUCAGGCUAGAGUGCAGGAGAGGAAGGUAGAAUUCCCGGUGUAGCGGUGAAAUGCGUAGAGAUCGGGAGGAAUACCAGUGGCGAAGGCGGCCUUCUGGACUGACACUGACGCUGAGGUGCGAAAGCGUGGGUAGCAAACAGGAUUAGAUACCCGAGUAGUC